AGUGAACGCUGGCGGUAGGCCUAACACAUGCAAGUCGAACGGCAGCACAGUAAGAGCUUGCUCUUACGGGUGGCGAGUGGCGGACGAGUGAGGAAUACAUCGGAAUCUACUUUUUCGUGGGGGAUAACGUAGGGAAACUUACGCUAAUACCGCAUACGACCUACGGGUGAAAGCAGGGGAUCUUCGGGCCUUGCGCGAUUGAAUGAGCCGAUGUCGGAUUAGCUAGUUGGCGGGGUAAAGGCCCACCAAGGCGACGAUCCGUAGCUGGUCUGAGAGGAUGAUCAGCCACACUGGAACUGAGACACGGUCCAGACUCCUACGGGAGGCAGCAGUGGGGAAUAUUGGACAAAGGGCGCAAGCCUGAUCCAGCCAUACCGCGUGGGUGAAGAAGGCCUUCGGGUUGUAAAGCCCUUUUGUUGGGAAAGAAAAGCAGCAGGUUAAUACCCCGCUGUUCUGACGGUACCCAAAGAAUAAGCACCGGCUAACUUCGUG
rnacentral:rRNA from 1 species